GGACCCGCACAAGUAGUGGAGCAUGUGGUUUAAUUCGAAGAUACGCGCAGAACCUUACCAACACUUGACAUGUUCGUCGCGACUCUAAGAGAUUAGAGUUUUCGGUUCGGCCGGACGAAACACAGGUGCUGCAUGGCUGUCGUCAGCUCGUGUCGUGAGAUGUUGGGUUAAGUCCCGCAACGAGCGCAACCCUCACUUUUAGUUGCCAUCAUUAGGUUGGGCACUCUGAAAGAACUGCCAGUGAUAAGCUGGAGGAAGGUGGGGAUGACGUCAAGUCCUCAUGGCCCUUACGUGUUGGGCUACACACGUGCUACAAUGGUAUCUACAACAGGAAGCAAGACUGCGAAGUUUAGCAAAUCCUUAAAAAAUACCUCAGUUCGGAUUGCACUCUGCAACUCGAGUGCAUGAAGCUGGAAUUACUAGUAAUCG
rnacentral:rRNA from 1 species